UACGUAGGGCGCAAGCGUUGUCCGGAAUUAUUGGGCGUAAAGAGCUCGUAGGCGGUUUUGUCGCGUCUGCUGUGAAAACCUAAGGCUCAACCUUGGGCUUGCAGUGGGUACGGGCAGACUAGAGUGCGGUAGGGGUGACUGGAAUUCCUGGUGUAGCGGUGGAAUGCGCAGAUAUCAGGAGGAACACCGAUGGCGAAGGCAGGUCACUGGGCCGCAACUGACGCUGGAGGAAGCGAAAAGCAUGGGGGAGCGAACAGG
rnacentral:rRNA from 1 species